ACAUCUACAAUUGAUUAUUGUUUAUUGAUCUUAUAUCCUGCAAACUUGCUAUAUUAGAUUCUUAUGACUGCUAUAACAAAUUAACACAAACUUGGUAGCUUAAAACAAUACAAAUUUAUUAUAUUACAAUUCUGGCAGUCAGAGUUCCAAAAUUAGUCUCAGUGGCCUAAAAUCAAGGUGUCAUCAGGACUGUGCUCCUUCUGGAGUCUUUGGGGGAGAAUCUCCUUUUUUUUCUAGCUUCCAGAGGCUAUUCAUAUUGUUUGACUCAUGGUUCCAGUUUCCAUCUUAAAGCCAGCAGAAUAACAUCUUCCAAUGUUUCUCUCUUUCUGACUCUGCCCCUUUUGCUUUCCUUUUAUGAUUGCAUUAGGCCCACCAGGAUAAUCCAGAAUAAUAUUCUUAUCUCAAGUUCCUUAACUUAAUCACACCUGCCAAGCCCCUCUUGCCAUGGAAGGUAACAUAUUCACAGGCUCUGAAGAUUAGAAUAUGAACAUCUUUAGAAGACUGUUAUUCUGACUACAGCACUUAUCAAAGACACUAGUUUCAGACUUUUAAACAAGAUUCAGUCAGAUUUUCUAUGUAGAUUAUAAUAAUGUCUGCAAAUAAAGGGUUUUUAUUUUUCUUUUUCAAUCUACAUGCUUGCCUGCCUGCCUGCCUGCCUGCCUGCCUGCCUUCCUUCCUUCCUUCCUUCCUUCCUUCCUUCCUUCCUUCCUUCCUUCCUUCCUUCCUUCCUUCCUUCCUUCCUUCUUCUUCCCUUAUUUUUCUUCUGGCUUUAUUGCAGUGGUUAGAAUCUCUAGUACAAUGUUAAAUAGACGUGAUGAAAGUGAACUCCUUAUCUUGUUCCAGAUCUUCAAGCAAGGUCAUUCAUUCCUUUAUCAUAAUGUAUUAUGAUUUCUUAUAAGUUACUUUUAUCUGGUUGUGGAAGUUCUCUUCUAUUCCUAGUUUGUGCAGAGGUUUCAUAAGUAAUGGAUUUUGAAUACUGCCGAAUGCUUCUGCUGAGGUCAUCAUAUGGGUCUUUUUAGAUUUGUUAAUAUGAUGUACUACAUUGAUUAAUUUUCAAACAUUAACACAAACUUGCAUUCCUGGGAUAAAUCUACUUGAACAUGAUGUAGUAUCCUUUUUACAUGUUGCUGGCUUUUAAUUUGCUAAAAAUAUUUUAAGAUUCUUUUUAAAAUUAUGUACUUGAAGAUAUUGGUCUUUAGUUUUCGUUUCUUGUAAUGUCUUUAUUUGCUUUUAUUAUUAAGAUAAUGUUGGUCUCAUAAAUUGAGAUGGAAAGUAUUUCUUUCUCUUCAGUUAUAAAUGUAGACAUGCAAAAACUCCAACAACAUAAUAGCAAACCAAAUCCAGCAACAUUUAAAAAGAAUUAUAAAGCAUGACCAUGUGGGAUUUAUCCCAGGAAUACAAGGUUGGUUUAAUAUCUGGAAAUAAUGUAAUAUAUAAUAUUAAUUGGUUGCUAGAAUCACAUGAUCAUCUCAAUAGAUGCAGAAAAUAUUCAGCCCCCUUUCUUGGUAAGAACACUUAAUAAACUGGGAAUAGAAGGGAUGAUCUGUUAGUGCUGAUGUCUUUCACCUUUUGUAUGUCUGAAAAAAGCUUCAUUUUUCAUAUCAUAUCAUACCAUAUCAUGUGAUUUUCAUAUCACUUCCUUUUUGAGUGACAUUUUUCCUGGGUGUGGAAUAUUAGGUUGACAUGUUGUUUUCAAUACUUUAAAAAUAUUGCUUCACUAUCUUCUCACUUGCGUUAUUUCCAACAAAAAUCUUAUGCCCUUAUCUUUAUUCCUCUGCUACAUAUUUCUUUUCUGUCUCCUCUAGGUUUUCUUAUUAUCUCUGUUUUUCAUAAUUUGUUUGUGAUGUGCCUUGGUGUAAUUUUCUUCAUGUUUCUUGUGAUCCCUGUUUGCUGAGCUUUUUGGAUUGGUGGGUGAUACGGUUUGGAUGUUUUAUCCCCUCCAAAUCUCAUGUUGGAAUGUGACUUCCAAUAUUAGAGGUGGGCUCAGUGGGAGGUGUUUGUGUCAUGGGGAACAAUCCCUCACAAAUGGUUUGAUGCUGUGUUCACAGUAUUAAGUUAGUUCUCACUUUAUGAGUUCAUGCAAGAUCUGGUUGUUUAAAAGAACCUGGACCCUCUUCCCUCUCUCUUGCUCCUUCUCUCUUCAUGUGACACACUGGCUCCCUGUUUGCCUUCCACCAUGAUUGUAAGCUUCCUGAGGCCUUACCAGAGGCACAUGCUGGCACCACCAUGCUUCCUGUAUAGCCUGCAGACCCAUGAGCCAAAAUAAUCCUCUUUUCUUUAUAAAUUACCCAGUCUCGGGUAUUACUUUUAGCAAUGCAAAAUGGGCUAACACAGUGGGUUUAUAUUUUUCAUCAAAUUUGGAAAAAAAGGACAUCAUUUUGUUACAUAAUUUUUCUGUUUGCCUCUCAUUUUCAGAGACUCUAAUUAUAUGUAUAUUAGAGCACUUGCAGUUUUCUACAGCUCAGUGAUGCUCUGCUAUUUUUUUUAACUUCUCUUUUCUCUCAGCUUCCCAUCUUGGAUAGUUUAUUUUGCUAUAUCUUCAAGCUCACUUUUCUUUUUUUCUGAAAUAUCUAAUUUGUUAGUUAAUCUCAUCUAGUGCAUUUUUAUCUCAUUUUUUUAAGUUUUCAUCUGCAGAAGUUUGAUUUGUGUCUUUUUAUAUCUGUCACAUUUCUACUUAACUUUUUACCAUAUGGAACACAAUUAUAAUUAUUCUUUUAAUGUCCAUGUUUGCUAAUUCUGAUAUCUGUAUCACUUCUGGGUUGGUUUCAACUGAUUAAUUUUUCUUUCUGUUGUUUGGAUUUUUCUAGUUCAUUGCAUGCCUGCAAUAUUUGUUUGGAGCCAGACAUUUUGAUUUUACCUUGUCAGGUGCUAGAUUUUACCUUGUCAAGUGCUAUAUUUUUGAAUUCCUAUAAACAUUAUCAAUCUUCAUUCUGGAAUGCAGUUAAGUUAAUUAGAAACAGUCUGGUCCUUUUGAUUUAUUAGGUGGGAGUGGGACAUUGCUCAGUCUAGGGUUCAUAAUUCCUCACUUUUGAAGCAAGAAUACUGUGUACUCUAUCCAUUGUCAGGUGAAUUACGAAUUUGUCUAGUCUGGCUGGUGGCAGCAGGUACUGUUCCAGAUUGUGUGAGUGCUAUGUCCUUCACUCUCAUCCUUUUAGAUAAUUCUUACCCCAGCCUCCAAUAGUUUCCUCAUAUGCAUGUGCUGAUCAGUAUUCUGUUGAAUACUUGAGGGGGGCACUCCACAGACAUCUGGAAUUAUUUCUAUGUGUAUCUUUCUACUCUCCAAUAUUCUGCACUACAAGCUCUGGCUGUCUUUGUUUUCCCAAAAUCCAAGCUGGAAGUCUUCAAUUCAGGGAUACUGUAAGGCUUUGCCUGGGUUUUCCCUCCUUGCAUCACAUCUUAGAAGAUUUUCUAGGCAAUAAGCUGGGAAAAUCAUAGUACUCACCAACUGUUUCUCUUUUCUCCAGGAUCACUGUUCUUUGUUACGUGAUGCACAGAGUCUUCCAAUGUGCCUGGUCUGCACUUCUAAAAUUUUCCAGUGAAGAUGGGACCACAGAGAUGGCAUCUAAGAUGGCUGGCCCAGAGUAGGC
rnacentral:lncRNA from 1 species